GACGAACCGUGCGAACGUUAUUCGGAAUCACUGGGCUUAAAGGGCGCGUAGGCGGGCCACCAAGUCAGGGGUGAAAUCCCACGGCUCAACCGUGGAAGUGCCCUUGAUACUGGUGGCCUCGAGGGAGGCAGGGGCGUGCGGAACUUUGGGUGGAGCGGUGAAAUGCGUAGAUAUCCAAAGGAACACCGGUGGCGAAAGCGGCGCGCUGGACCUCUUCCGACGCUGAGGCGCGAAAGCCAGGGGAGCAAACGGG
rnacentral:rRNA from 1 species